rnacentral:lncRNA from 10 species
GCAGUUUCUUCCUAGUCUUGAUGGUCUUUACAUUUUGGCUGAUUUUGCAGCGGCUGGUACCGGUUGUUCCUUUCCAUGUUUAGCGUGAAAACAAAGGCAGCCUAGAAGCUUAGGCCAGAACCCUUGAUAUUAAUCUGUGACCAUAGAAGCCAUCCCUUGCUUUUGGUACUCCACCCUAAUGUACUCCACUGGGGCCUGCCUCUCCCUUUGUCCCCAGCAAUUAGCACAGUUUACACUUGAGUGAUCAUUGUUUUGACCCGCCCUAAGUCUCGGCAUCCGGACUCCAUCACCCACCAUCUGUGCCCUGGCCAGGAGGACUUCUCAGCAGCUCUCCAGCAAGCACCGGAAGUGGGGCUUGGCCACAGGCCUAUGGUGUGACGGGCGGCCAAGGACAGAGUCUUCUGUCACUCAUGGUCUCGAGGACAAGAACAGACCAAAACCAGGCACAGAUUUAGUUGUCUGAAUACUCUUUUAUAAUGAGAGAAGGGGAGACAGAUUAGAAGAAAAGGAAAGAAGAGGAGAGAGACAAGAGGAUGGUAGACCAGAUGCCAGGAGGACAAAUAAGAGAGAGAAAAUGUAAAGAGAAAAAGAACAAAGGAACAAUAAGAAAAUAAUUGGGAAGGAGAAGGGAAGGAAAGGAGAAGUUAGGAAUGGAGAGUGGAUGGUAAAGGA